UACAGAGGGUGCGAGCGUUGUCCGGAAUCACUGGGCGUAAAGGGCGCGUAGGCGGUCUGGUAAGCGUGUGGUGAAAGCUCGGGGCUCAACCCCGAGUCGGCCGUGCGAACUGCGAGACUGGAGCAGAUCAGAGGCAGGCGGAAUUCCGGGUGUAGCGGUGGAAUGCGUAGAUAUCGGGAGGAACACCAGUGGCGAAGGCGGUUGCCUGGAGCUUUGCUGACGCUGAUGCGCGAAAGCGUGGGGAGCGAGUCCGG
rnacentral:rRNA from 1 species